ensembl:lncRNA
ACGAGUUUUGAGGUUCCUUCCAGGCACCCCUUGAUUUGGGGGUUAGCUGUCUGCAGAAAGGGAACAUACCAGUGAAAUCAUAAAGCAGAAGAGAAUGGCAGAAAACACCAAGGCUGAUUCAGAACUUCAGGAUUUGGAGUGGGACCUUCAAUCUCCCGAAUUUCUAUGGCAAAAAGAGAGGAAAGUGCUGUCCUCAGCUGUGUGAAAACUCCCAUCUCCCCACACAACCCUGCUGUAAAAUCUGCCUUUUCACUCUUCUGGGGUACUUUCCUCAGCAUCAUUAGUGAUCCCCCACCACUGAAUUUUGAAGAAGGCUUGAAAGAUGAAAAAACCCUUUGGCACAAAUCUGUGCUGGGCUUCUGCCAUCAGCUGAUCUGCAACAGUUUGGCAUAACCUCCUUCUUUACACGACUGGGUCCUAGGGUAGCUUUGAUCAAUUUUUUAAAAGUUGGAAAAUCUUUCCCAUUCUUUAAAGAAAAUAUAAGGACUUCAGCAUCCAAGGCCUUAUAACACUUGAGCUGAUUUGUUUGGUGAGCUGAAAUUGUCAUUUCUGGGGAUGAAGGUGUGUUUCAUGAAUGUGCCAUGUCACUCUGUCCUUGUGCACAGCCAUCACCUCUGGAUCCUGGCUGAAGGACAGCCCUCUUCGGAAGGGAGACAGUGAUUCUUUUGUUGUUCAGGUUUCCUUCUGAAGAGAGUAAAGUCUUAAAAGCUUAAGAGAAAACAAGACCUUUUGAUAUCUAUGAGCAUGUGGGCCUUAGAUGAAAAGAUGGCCAAUGAUUCAAGGGGAUGCUGCACCAGACUCUAUGUGAAGAGCAUGAGAGCUUCUGCCCUGGCAGAGGUAGGAAGAGAUGAAUAAUUUUCAGGUGCUUUAGUUAAUGCCAUAUACCUAGCCAGAUGAUUUUUGUUGUCACUUUUUUUUUUUUUAUUUGUAUCCAUACCUAUUCUAUUUUGUACAUUCAAUGUGUCUAUUGACUGCACAUACAGAGCAAGUUGUUUACUGCUGUCACAAAUCCUUAUUUACUGGCUGGGCUUUGUCAUGAGAGUGCCCUGCAGUACCCUGCCUAUGAAAACAAUUUGUUGGGUGAGUUCUGAAACACUGUCUUGUUCCUAGUUUUCUGUUAUUAUAAGAUGGGAUCAAAACACAUUGUGACUUUCCCUUGACUGACAGAAGAAUUGCAAUAUAUUUAUUACACAAUUUUAAUGGGAAAAGAUAGUUCUUUUCCCUGUUAGAACUUGGGUUAUUUGGAUCAAUGUGUUCUUUCUUUAAAAGAUUUGUUGUGGAGACUGCAUUCUGUAUAUUCAAUAGAUUGCUACAGAUGUGUGUCUUUAGAACAUAUUUCAGCCAGUGCUUUAUUGUUAAUAAUAUAAGAAGCCUCUAUGUUAAACAUGCAGAAGUAAUUUCUGUUGUGUAUUACAAACAUGCAGCAGAAAACAUACAGGCAUUCUGUCUCCAUUUAUUGCCUACCUGCUGAAGCUACCUCCAAACACCUCUAUAAACUGUUGCAACAAAAUUUUGUAUAUGGGCUGUGCUUGAGAGACUAAGAGCAUUAUUGUCAGUGGGGCUGGUUGUAUGCAAGUAAGAUGAUCUAAGGUCCAAAUCCAGCUGGGCUGUUGCUGUGCAGGAUACAGGCUGGUAUUUAUGUUGUUAAUCUGCUAAUUCAGGGCCCAGGGAUAUUUGAUUUUGGAUUUCUGGUGUAGUAUUACCUAGUAAAAGUGGCACUAAAGAACUAAUCAUUAAGUUACAUGACAUGAAAUUUCCUAUUAUGAAUAUGAAGAACCUGAAAUGUUGCAUUUGACUGGGCAAAAAGUGUUUUUUUCACAUUGGUUCCAAGAAAGAUUCUACAUAUAAAACUUGGUUCAUUCCCUUUAUCUGGGGAAGACUUGUUGACAGUAUAAUAUAUUUUAAUUCUUUACAUUAUGUGUCACAGGAAAUUAUUUUAAUCAUUCCUUCCUUAGAAAAUAUUAUCGGAAAUACAUAUCUUUCUGUGAAAUAGAUUUGAUGUUCCUGUGGCCCUACAGCUUAUACUUUGUAUAAACAUUCAGAAGCUUUACUAGCCAUGACAUGAACUUGGGAAGAUGAAAUUAUACACCACAGCCAUUAAUUGCUUCAGACAGAAAUUUUAGAAAUUAAUUUCCAGUAAUAUUCUGGAGCUUAACAUUGAAAUAGUUGAAAUUGGGGCUGCCAUUUCCAAGAGGAAUCAAUCAAUAAAGAAACAAAAAUAAUUGUGAAAGUGAAAAAU